UCAGCAGGUUAGAAAGGGCACUCUAAGGAGACUGCCGGUGACAAACCGGAGGAAGGUGGGGAUGACGUCAAGUCAUCAUGGCCCUUACGGCUAGGGCUUCACACGUCAUACAAUGGUCGGUACAGAGGGUCGCCAACCCGCGAGGGGGAGCCAAUCCCAGAAACCCGAUCGUAGUCCGGAUCGCAGUCUGCAACUCGACUGCGUGAAGUCGGAAUCGCUAGUAAUCGCGAAUCAGCAUGUCGCGGUGAAUACGUUCCCGGGCCUUGUACACACCGCCCGUCACGCCCAUGGGAGUGGGUUGUACCAGAAGGAGCCAGGCAAACCCAAGUGGUCGUUCCGCGCGCCGCAACCU
rnacentral:rRNA from 1 species